rnacentral:rRNA from 1 species
UACAGAGGUCCCAAGCGUUGUUCGGAUUUACUGGGCGUAAAGGGUGCGUAGGCGGUGGGGUAAGUUUGAGGUGAAAGCUCCGGGCUCAACCCGGAAAAUGCCUUGAAAACUAUCCGGCUAGAGGGUUGGAGGGGAGACUGGAAUUCUCGGUGUAGCAGUGAAAUGCGUAGAUAUCAUGAGGAAUACCAGAGGCGAAGGCGGCUACCUGGACAAUUGCUGACGCUCAGGCACGAAAGCGUGGGGAGCAAAAGGG